AUGAGUUUUUUGUGUUCAUUGAGAACAUGGUUGUUGUUCAAUAAUAACAUUAUUCCUCAAAAAUACAACUUGCCUAAUAAUUCUGCACUCCCUGUAGAUCUGAACCCCAGAUCAUUAGUCAGAUCAUUAACAAUAGUGGAUACUAACGUCAGAAUGGAUCAAAAAUUCGCCACCUCCUCUACAUGGAUGGAUCUGUAGCAAUGAUAUUGGAAUGUCAUUUGGACUGGAGAAGUUUAGUCGGAUGGUAACCAAGAGAAGAAAGGUAGUCAAAAUGGAAGGGACUGCACUACUAGAAGGCAACAUAGCAGACACUGAGGACAUCUACAUGUACCUUGGAAUCCCAAAGGCAAAUAGGAUCCAUGAAGGGGUUGCAAGGAAAACCACGACCACCAAAUACCUGCAGAGAGUAAAGCAAAUGCUGAGGGGUCAGGAAGAUUAACAUUCAACACCUACAUCCUGCUAGUCAUCAGAGACCCUGCAAGGAUAAUAAGCUGGCCAAAGGAGAAGAUAGAAGCUACUGGCAUCAAGACAAGCGCCUUACCAUGCAUUGAGACCUAAGGAGCUUGAAAGGGAGUGACUAGGCUCCUUUAAGUUUCGCAAAGACGUUUCACCUCACGUCCAAUAUGCUUCUCUUGUAAAACAAAAUGGUGGAGUCCCAUGUAUCUAUUUAAACCUCAGUGGGAGCUGUCCCUUAAGUGGUUCAUAGACCCUCUCAUGCCCCUCAUCACAUAAGUCAAGGUAUAAAAAACAGCAUGGGUUAUUAGCACUAAAGGUUUUGGGUGAAACCACUGUGAGACGUUGUCUCCCUAUCAUAUUACCUAUUGAGGUCACGUGACACAAGAUGUGAGUGGGAAUUGAGGCACCUGGGAAGGGAUCUCAAAACUGCAUUGUAUGUGGCAGACAGUUUUAAGCCACUCCCUCUGUUCAAUGAGUUUUAGACACAGUGCACAUAAAUCCUGUUUCACUGCUCUUACAAACUCUUUGUCUUCUCUGUCCAAAAUGUGAACAUUAGCAUCCUCAAAAGAGUGACCUUUAUCCUUUAGGUUCAAAUGUUAAGCUUAGUCUUUUCCUGUCGAUGUUGCCCUUCUGUUGUGCUAUGUGUUUAUGGAGGGGCUGUUUGGUUUCUCCAGUGAAGAGGUCUGAGCACUCCUCACUGCACAGCAUACACUACGUUGUUUAGUUUGUGUUUGGGAGUUUUGUCCUUUUGAUAAACCAGUUUUUGUCUGAGUGUGUGGCUGGGUCUGAGGUCCACUGGGAUAUAGUGAUUGGAGAAAAUUUGUCUGAUAAACCUGCUACAUAAGAGGUGACAGUGCUGUUCCAUUUGUUAGUGUUUCUCUUUAGUUGGUGUCUGACCAGGACAAGGGUCAGUUGUUAAGAGUCAACACCAAAAGGAUAAUGGUCACUUUUUACUGGAUGCCAAUUGUUACGGUCAUGGGUUGCUAGAAGGUUCUCCCUGUUUGAGAAUGCUGUGUUUUUCUUUUCUUCUUUCUCUCCCUCUCUCUCCCCUCUCCCUUUUCCUGUCUUUGAAGUUCCAGGUGCCGCGGCUGAGUAGCGUUAUGGCUUGUUAGCCAUAGGAGGCUCUGAGCGCCGUGUGUGUAUAGCGCUUCUGUUUUCUUUCUACGUUUGGAAUACUGUGAUAGUGAGAGAGAGCAGUGUAGGCUGGUAGGGGUUCUCCGCCAUUUUUGUUUGACCAAAGUUUUCUCCUGUUUUGUGGACAGCCAGAGAUGUCAGGUAUUGCAUUUUUUUUUUCUUGAGGGAAGUUAUACCAUGUGUUUUGUUUAUAGGAAGGGGGAGUGUUUUUGUUUGUUAUUUUGGCCUCAGAGAGCCUGAUGCUUUUAGUUUUUCAGCUCAGCUGUUUCAAGUUUAUUCAUUUUUUGCUUGCCCCUCCAGGAUUUGAUGUGGGUAAGAAUGAAACAGAAUUAGAGGCAUAUUUUAAUGCAUUUGAACAUAUUGCCAUAGCCUUGCACUGGCCUAAAGAGGUUUGGCCUCUGCUGAGGCAGUAUAAACUGGUGGGUAAGGCGCAGGGGGUGUGUGCGGCUCUCACCGUUAAGGACAGUUUAGUGUAUGAUAGGGUACUGAGUGCCAUUCUCAAAGCAUAUGAAUUAGUGCCUGAAGCUUACAGAAAGCAUUUCCGGUCCCUCCGUAGGCCCCCCACGCAAACCUUUCUUGAGUUUGCAAGGAAAAAGGAAUAUUGUUUGAUAGGUGGAGUCAGGAGAGUGGUGUUGUAGAUUUUACGGCAUGAUCCUGGGUCCUUUUGACCCAGCGUUUUGUGUUUUCUAUUAUUGUAAUUUUGGUUCUGUUCUUCCUCGGUUAGUGUUCGUGUAUAUCUGUGUCUGGUCUGCAUUUCUGAGUUUGUGUCAUUACGUGUAAGUGUUUCCUGUUUUACUUUGAAAGUCUCUGUCUUAUGUCAGUGUGUUCUGUUUACGUUUCCCCUACCUCGUCAGCUGUUAUGUCCCCCAGGCGUGUUUCCCUCCUGUUUCCCAUCCCUGAUUACUGGUAUGUGUACUUAUAGUGUGUGUUCACCCGUCCUAAACUAAUUGGUCUGUGUUGUUUCCCUCGGUCUCCCUGUGUCUCUCUGUGUAUUUUCCCAGACCUCCCUGCAUCUUCGUUUCUGGUUUGUUUUGUUAGUUUUGCCCAGUUUAGGUUUUACAGUUUCAUGUCCACCCGCACCCGCACCGCAGGGGGGGGAAUGAUCCUUGGGGAGUCAGUUUUGGGACCAAUCCUGGCCGAGAACAGGAGGGUGACUGCUGGUGGGUCGGUCCCUAAGUGUGCCCUGUGAAUGCCAAAGUGGCGGCGGUAGUAAACUACCCUGUUCCUACCACCUGGCGGGAACUUAGGCGGUUCCUGGGCCUCGUGGGCUACUAUCGGUGUUUCUGCUGGAACUUCUCAACCGUGGUGGCCCCUCUAACCCGCCUCUGUAGCCCAAAGGAACCUUUUUAGUGGACCACUGAGUGCCAACACAUCUUUGAUGGUGCUAAGUCCCUCCUGUGCAGUGCUGGCCGCCCCAGAUUUAAUUAGAGCAUUCAGCCUGGAGGUGGACGCCAGUGCCAUGGGGGCUCCAGAAGGGAACUGAUGACAUCAAUAAUCCAAUCUCCUACUUCUAGAGAUGGACUCUACUAGUUCAGGAAUACAACUUGGACAUCAGACAUAAAAAAGGGGUAGACAAUAUAUUAGCGGAUGCACUGUCCAGUGGACAUCAGUUAACCACACAGAGCACUGGUUUUACUAGAGGUGGAUUUUUAUGGGGGAGGGCGUUACGGUCGUGGGUUGCUAGGAGAUUCUCCCUGUUGGAGAAUGCUGUUUUUUCCUCCUCUCUCUCUCUCUCUCUCUCUCUCUCUCUCUCUCUCUCUCUCUCUCUCUCUCUCUCUCUCCCCUCUCCCUCUUCCUGCCCUGUUUUUCAGGUUCUAGGUCCCAUGGCUGAGAGUCCUUACGGCUUGUUAGCCAUGUGAUAAAAAAGGCGGGCAUUCUGCAAGCUUCAGCCAUUUGAAGUUUCACUUUACUGGACUUCUGUAAACUGAAUCUGAAUUUUCAGCUCCAAGAAAACUAUAAAACACUGAAGAAUUUCAAGCACAUAACUAAUUAACUUAAAUCUUUCAUUUAUUAUUCAGACUGGAGAAUUGCAGGUUAUCGGAGAUCAGCUGUCUGGGCUUAGCACUGAAGUCCAAUCCCUCCAACAUGAGAGAGCUGUACCUGAGUCAGAACAACCUGCAGUAUUCAGGAGUGAAACAGCUGUGUGGCUUUCUGGAGGGUCGAAACUGUAGACUGGAAACACUGGGAUUGAGGAGCUGCAGUUUGUCAGAGAUCAGCUGCCUGUUUGCAGCUCUGAAGUCUAACCCUUCCCAUCUUAAACAUCUGGACCUGAGAGGGAACAAGCUGCAGGAUUCGGGAAUGAAACAGUUGUGUGGUUUUCUGGAGAGUCGGCAAUGUAGACUGGAGACUCUGAGGUCAGAAACUGUGUUUUUGUUGUGCUGGCACUAAACUGACAGAAGACUGAUAUGAUACUAAACCAUAGUAUUUUGACCGUUUCAGUCCAAAAGCUAAACAUUUAAAACCCUAAUAUAAGAGAAGUCUUGGAAGUGAUUAUUUACUCUGACUUACCUUCUUUUUUUGUCAGGAAGAAUUCAGACCAGGGCUGAAACUAGGCAUUUUUUUUUAUUGGUUAAUCUCUGAAGUAUUUCUGAUAGUAUUAUGGCCAUUGUAGGUAAAGCCAAUAAAAAGAAAAAGAGAAAACCAUUAUAGGGACAGGAGGUAUAUUAUAAAGUGGUACAUUAUUUACAAAAACAGGCAGAAAACAAGAUCAGGGAAAACGAAAGAUGUGUGGUCAGGAAUGAAAAAGAUCACAGAACAAGAACUAUUAAACCGUGGGAAACCUAAAUAGAGCCAAUGUGUUUAACACCUUAAGUCUAGGACCCAUCCAAACUCACCUCAGCUCAGGUACAGAUAUAUGAAGGAAAUACAAAAAUACAAUUAAGUACAAUCAAUGAAAAAAGUAAGAUAAUACACUAUAUACAAUGGUAGCAUACACAGUAUGUGAUGGAUAUAGUUGGAAAUAUGGAAGACAAACUAUAUAGCUUGGAAGGUCAUGGAAGGUCCAUUUUUACAGCACAUCUUCAAUCUUAGUUUGAGCCAGGAGAAGAUACCAUUACUCUGGAAAACAUCCUGUUUUGUCUCAAUAUUGAUGAACUCUGCCCCAUCUGCCCUCUAUUGCACACUUGUUACCUUAACAUCUUACGUCAUUACUUUUUUU